rnacentral:rRNA from 1 species
AUUGAACGCUGGCGGCAUGCCUUACACAUGCAAGUCGAACGGCAGCACGGGGCAACCUGGUGGCGAGUGGCGAACGGGUGAGUAAUGCAUCGGAACGUACCUUUCAGUGGGGGAUAACGUAGCGAAAGUUACGCUAAUACCGCAUAUUCUGUGAGCAGGAAAGCAGGAGAUCGCAAGACCUUGCGCUGAUUGAGCGGCCGAUGUCAGAAUAGCUAGUUGGUGAGGUAAAGGCUCACCAAGGCGACGAUCUGUAGCGGGUCUGAGAGGAUGAUCCGCCACACAGGAGAUGAGACACGGUCCAGAGUCCUACGGGAGGCAGAAGAGGGGAAGUUUGGACAAUUGCGGCAACCCUGAUCCAGCCAUGCCGCGUGAGUGACGAAGGCCUUCGGGUUGUAAAGCUCUUUCGGCCGGGAAGAAAUCGCACGGGCUAAUACCCUGUGUGGAUGACGGUACCGGAAUAAGAAGCACCGGCUAACUACGUGCCAGCAGCCGCCGUAAGAC